CCGGCGGCUAAUACAUGCAAGUCGAACGAAACUUUCUUACACCGCAAUGCUUGCAUUCACCGUAAGAAGUUUAGUGGCGGACGGGUGAGUAACACGUGGGUAACCUGCCUAAAAGAAGGGGAUAACACUUGGAAACAGGUGCUAAUACCGUAUAUCUCUAAAGAUCGCAUGAUCCUUAGAUGAAAGAUGGUUCUGCUAUCGCUUUUAGAUGGACCCGCGGCGUAUUAACUAGUUGGUGGGGUAACGGCCUACCAAGGUGAUGAUACGUAGCCGAACUGAGAGGUUGAUCGGCCACAUUGGGACUGAGACACGGCCCAAACUCCUACGGGAGGCAGCAGUAGGGAAUCUUCCACAAUGGACGCAAGUCUGAUGGAGCAACGCCGCGUGAGUGAAGAAGGUCUUCGGAUCGUAAAACUCUGUUGUUAGAGAAGAACACGAGUGAGAGUAACUGUUCAUUCGAUGACGGUAUCUAACCAGCAAGUCACGGCUAACUACGUGCCAGCAGCCGCGGUAAUACGUAGGUGGCAAGCGUUGUCCGGAUUUAUUGGGCGUAAAGGGAACGCAGGCGGCCUUUUAAGUCUGAUGUGAAAGCCCUCGGCUUCACCGGAGUAGUGCAUUGGAAACUGGAAGACUUGACGUGCACAACAGGACAGUGGAACUCCAUGUGUAGCGGUGAAAUGUGUACACAUAUGGCAAGAACCCCAUUGUCGAAAGCUUGCUCUCUGGUCGCUAACCUCACCUCUUUAAGUUNCCCAAAGCCCCGGGCCAUUAUAAUANGUACUUACAAUACCUCCGGGGUAGUUCCCACCCCGUUAAACCCAUUGAAAUGCUUCUGUUGUUUGGC
rnacentral:rRNA from 2 species